ACGAUAGAGGUUGCGCAUUUCAAAAGUAUCUUUCACGAUGCCGCAGGAGCAGAGGACUGACAGAAAAAGGGGAACGCGCCGAAAGAAUGGAAACCCUGCGAUUUGUAUUCUUGGGCAUGGCAUUAACAGUGACAUGACUGUCAUCACCAGAUGGAGCGCUAUC
rnacentral:ncRNA from 1 species